GCGGACGUGGUGCACGGCGCAUCACUGCAGAAUUUAUACGAGGUUGAAAUUGUAAGCAGUAAUCCGGGGUUCGACUCCCCGCGUCCGCA